GCUUUACACAUGCAAGUCGAACGGUAACGCGGGCUUCGGCCUGGCGACGAGUGGCGAACGGGUGAGUAGAACAUCGGAACGUAUCUGUUAUCUGGGGGAUAGCCCGGCGAAAGCCGGAUUAAUACCGCAUGAGCUCUUUGGAGGAAAGCGGGGGACUUUCGGGCCUCGCGCUGACAGAGCGGCCGAUGCCGGAUUAGCUAGUAGGUAGUGGUAAAGGCCUACCUAGGCGACAGAUCCGUAGCUGGUCUGAGAGUGAUGAUCAGCCACACUGGAACUGAGACACGGUCCAGACUCCUACGGGAGGCAGCAGUGGGGAAUUUGGACAAUGGGGGCAACCCUGAUCCAGCCAUGCCGCGUGCGGGAAGAAGGCCUUCGGGUUGUAAACCGCUUUCAUACGGAACGAAAUGGUGCGGGCUAAUACCGCGUAUUGAUGACGGUACCGUAAGAAGAAGCACCGGCUAACUACGUGCCAGCAGCCGCGGUAAAUACGUAGGGGUGCGAGCGUUAAUCGGGAAUUACUGGGCGUAAAGCGUGCGCAGGCGGACUCUUUUAAGACAGGUGUGACAAUUCCCCGGGCUUUAACCUGGGA
rnacentral:rRNA from 1 species